rnacentral:rRNA from 1 species
AUCGAACGCUAGCGGGAUGCUUUACACAUGCAAGUCGAACGAGUGGCGGACGGGUGAGUAAUAUAUCGGAACGUGCCCAGUCGCGCCGGAUAACUACUCGAAAGAUUGGCUAAUACUGCAUACUACUGGAGCGGCUGUUAGUGGAUUAGCUAGUUGGUGGGGUAAAGGCUAACCAAGGCAACGAUCCGUAGCUGGUUUGAGAGGGCGACCGGCCACACUGGGACUGAGACACGGCCCAGACUCCUACGGGAGGCAGCAGUGGGGAAUUUUGGGCAAUGGAGGAAACCCUGAUCCAGCCAUCCCGCGUGAAUGAGAAGGCCUUCGGGUUGUAAAGUACUUUUGGCAGAGAAGCGGUAUCUGAAGAGUAAGCACCGGCUAACUACGUGCCAGCAGCCGCGGUAAUUC